UUUCACCGCUCUUCGCUUUAACCCUGUGACCAGCUCCACGAAGGGCUCGCCCAGCUCACCCCGUCUCCCCGCGUUCGCACAGGGCACUCCCGCAAAGCACCUCGCUCAGAAAGAGCCCUGUAAACUGGGCUCCUUUUACUAGAAAACCGGACAACUCCGCUUGCACGGAAGUCGGGAGUUAAUGACAAGAAAUACCUGUUGGUGUUAACCUCCUCCCCCUCACCUGCUUUUUUUAAGGAUUGCCUCUUCUACAGGCCAGCUGAUAGAUCUGGAUAGGAAUUAAUCUGGUGGCCAACCGAUUCCCCGGCGUCGUCUCCAUCCUACCUGACUGAAACUACUUGAGGUACUUCAUGAAGAACUCGGCCACAAA